UAAAACCCUAAUGCUGGCUGCAUGGAAAAGCUCAAUUUAGGGUUUAAAACCCUAAUGCUGGCUGAAAGGAAAAAGUUCAGUUUAGGGUUUUAAAACCCUAAUGCUGAUUGCAUGGAAAAGCUCAGUUUAGGGUUUAAAACCCUAAUGCUGGCUGAAAGGAAAAAGUUCAGUUUAGGGUUUAAAACUCUAAUGCUGACUAAAAGGAAAAGCUCAGUUUAGGGUUUAAAACCCUAAUGCUGAUUGCAUGAAAAAAGCCUAGUUUAGGGUUUAAAACCCCAAUGCUGGCUGAAAGGAAAAAGUUCAGUUUAGGUUUUAAAACCCUAAUGCUGACUAAAAGGAAAAGCUCAGUUUAGGGUUU
rnacentral:lncRNA from 1 species